rnacentral:rRNA from 1 species
UGACCUCAAAUCAGGUAGGACUACCCGCUGAACUUAAGCAUAUCAAUAAGCGGAGGAAAAGAAACUAACAAGGAUUCCCCUAGUAACUGCGAGUGAAGCGGGAAAAGCUCAAAUUUAAAAUCUGGUAGUCUUUGGCUGCCCGAGUUGUAAUCUAGAGAAGUGCUUUCCGCGCUGGACCGUGUACAAGUCUCUUGGAAUAGAGCGUCAUAGAGGGUGAGAAUCCCGUCUUUGACACGGACUACCAGUGCUUCUGUGAUGCGCUCUCAAAGAGUCGAGUUGUUUGGGAAUGCAGCUCAAAAUGGGUGGUAAAUUCCAUCUAAAGCUAAAUAUUGGCGAGAGACCGAUAGCGAACAAGUACCGUGAGGGAAAGAUGAAAAGAACUUUGGAAAGAGAGUUAAAUAGUACGUGAAAUUGUUAAAAGGGAAACGCUUGAAGUCAGUCGCGUUGGCGAGAGAUCAACCUGGCUCUUUUGCUGGGUGUAUUUUCUAGUCAAUGGGUCAACAUCAGUUUUGACUGCUGGAUAAAGUCUAGGGGAAUGUGGCAUCUUCGGAUGUGUUAUAGCCCUUGGUUGCAUACAGUGGUUGGGAUUGAGGAACUCAGCACGCCGCAAGGCUGGGGUUAUUGCCCACAUACGUGCUUAGGAGU